rnacentral:rRNA from 1 species
ACGGGUGAGUAAUACAUCGGAACGUAUCCUGGAGUGGGGGAUAGCCCGGCGGAAGCCGGAUUAAUACCGCAUACGCUCUGAGGAGGAAAGCGGGGGACCUUCGGGCCUCGCGCUCAAGGGGCGGCCGAUGGCGGAUUAGGUAGUUGGUGGGGUAAAGGCCUACCAAGCCGACGAUCCGUAGCUGGUCUGAGAGGACGACCAGCCACACUGGGACUGAGACACGGCCCAGACUCCUACGGGAGGCAGCAGUGGGGAAUUUUGGACAAUGGGGGCAACCCUGAUCCAGCAAUGCCGCGUGUGUGAAGAAGGCCCUCGGGUUGUAAAGCACUUUUGUCCGGAAAGAAAUCAUCGGGGCCAAUACCCCUGGUGGAUGACGGUACCGGAAGAAUAAGCACCGGCUAACUACGUGCCAGCAGCCGCGGUAAUACGUAGGGUGCGAGCGUUAAUCGGAAUUACUGGGCGUAAAGCGUGCGCAGGCGGUGCUGUAAGACCGAUGUGAAAUCCCCGGGCUUAACCUGGGAACUGCAUUGGUGACUGCAGCGCUGGAGUAUGGCAGAGGGGGGUGGAAUUCCACGU